AGCUUUGCGCAGUGGCAGUAUCGUAGCCAAUGAGGUUUAGCCGAGGCGCGAUUAUUGCUAAUUGAAAGUUUGAGUAUUACAUAGAAUUUCAGCACAAUUAGAGGAAAGGUAAAAUUGUUUCAGGAUUAAGUUAAAU